rnacentral:misc_RNA from 1 species
GAUGAAGAACGUAGUGAAAUGCGAUAAGUAGUGUGAAUUGCAGAAUUCAGUGAAUCAUCGAAUCUUUGAACGCACAUUGCGCCCCUUGGUAUUCCAUGGGGCAUGCCUGUUCGAGCGUCAUUUGUACCUUCAAGCUUUGCUUGGCGUUGGGUGUUUGUCUCGCCUUUGCGUGUAGACUCGCCUUAAAAUAAUUGGCAGCCGGCGUAUUGAUUUCGGAGCGCAGUACAUCUCGCGCUUUGCACUCAUAACGACAGCGUCCAAAAGUACAUUUUACACUCUUGACCUCGGAUCAGGUAGGGAUACCCGCUGAACUUAAGCAUAUCAAUAAGCGGAGGA